rnacentral:rRNA from 1 species
UACGGGGGGGGCAAGCGUUGUUCGGAAUUACUGGGCGUAAAGGGCUCGUAGGUUGCCAACUAAGUCAGACGUGAAAUCCCUCAGCUUAACUGGGGAACUGCGUCUGAUACUGGAUGGCUUGAGUUUGGGAGAGGGAUGCGGAAUUCCAGGUGUAGCGGUGAAAUGCGUAGAUAUCUGGAGGAACACCGGUGGCGAAGGCGGCGUCCUGGACCAACACUGACACUGAGGAGCGAAAGCCAGGGGAGCAAACGGG